CCUACGGGGGCAGCAGUGGGGAAUAUUUCACAAUGGGGGAAACCCUGAUGCAGCGACGCCGCGUGAGUGAAGAAGUAUUUCGGUAUUUAAAGCUCUAUCAGCAGGGAAGAAAAUGACGGUACCUGAUUAAGAAGCCCCGGCUAACUACGUGCCAGCAGCCGCGGUAAUACGGAGGGGGUAAGCGUUAUCCGGAUUUACUGGGUGGAAAGGGAGCGUAGACGGCAGCACAAGUCUGGAGUGAAAUGCCGGGGCUUAACCCCCGGACUGCUUUGGAAACUGUGCAGCUAGAGUGCAGGAGAGGUAAGUGGAAUUCCUAGUGUAGCGGUGAAAUGCGUAGAUAUUAGGAGGAACACCAGUGGCGAAGGCGGCUUACUGGACUGUAACUGACGUUGAGGCUCGAAAGCGUGGGGAGCAAACAGGAUUAGAUACCCGAGUAGUC
rnacentral:rRNA from 1 species